rnacentral:snRNA from 1 species
UGAGCUUUUGUCAAAUAAAAUUUCCUUUGUGUAGGAUCUGUUCUUAUCAGUUAAAUAUCUGAUACGGGUCCUAUUUGGACCCAAGAUUUUAAACUUAUUUUUGGAAUGGGGCGGAGUGCUUGAAGCUUGCUUCACCUCCGCCACGGGUUGGCCCGGUAUUGCACUGCCUCCGGGAUCGGCCCACUCACC